GAUGGGAGCUUGCUCCCUGAUGUUAGCGGCGGACGGGUGAGUAACACGUGGGUAACCUGCCUGUAAGACUGGGAUAACUCCGGGAAACCGGGGCUAAUACCGGAUGGUUGUCUGAACCGCAUGGUUCAGACAUAAAAGGUGGCUUCGGCUACCACUUACAGAUGGACCCGCGGCGCAUUAGCUAGUUGGUGAGGUAACGGCUCACCAAGGCGACGAUGCGUAGCCGACCUGAGAGGGUGAUCGGCCACACUGGGACUGAGACACGGCCCAGACUCCUACGGGAGGCAGCAGUAGGGAAUCUUCCGCAAUGGACGAAAGUCUGACGGAGCAACGCCGCGUGAGUGAUGAAGGUUUUCGGAUCGUAAAGCUCUGUUGUUAGGGAAGAACAAGUGCCGUUCAAAUAGGGCGGCACCUUGACGGUACCUAACCAGAAAGCCACGGCUAACUACGUGCCAGCAGCCGCGGUAAUACGUAGGUGGCAAGCGUUGUCCGGAAUUAUUGGGCGUAAAGGGCUCGCAGGCGGUUUCUUAAGUCUGAUGUGAAAGCCCCCGGCUCAACCGGGGAGGGUCAUUGGAAACUGGGGAACUUGAGUGCAGAAGAGGAGAGUGGAAUUCCACGUGUAGCGGUGAAAUGCGUAGAGAUGUGGAGGAACACCAGUGGCGAAGGCGACUCUCUGGUCUGUAACUGACGCUGAGGAGCGAAAGCGUGGGGAGCGAACAGGAUUAGAUACCCUGGUAGUCCACGCCGUAAACGAUGAGUGCUAAGUGUUAGGGGGUUUCCGCCCCUUAGUGCUGCAGCUAACGCAUUAAGCACUCCGCCUGGGGAGUACGGUCGCAAGACUGAAACUCAAAGGAAUUGACGGGGGCCCGCACAAGCGGUGGAGCAUGUGGUUUAAUUCGAAGCAACGCGAAGAACCUUACCAGGUCUUGACAUCCUCUGACAAUCCUAGAGAUAGGACGUCCCCUUCGGGGGCAGAGUGACAGGUGGUGCAUGGUUGUCGUCAGUCCUGUCGUGAAAUGUGGGUUAAGUCCCGCACAGAGGCACCCUUGAUUUAGUUGCCA
rnacentral:rRNA from 1 species